rnacentral:rRNA from 1 species
UACAGAGGUCCCAAGCGUUGUUCGGAUUCACUGGGCGUAAAGGGUGCGUAGGUGGCGGGGUAAGUCUGGUGUGAAAGCUUCGAGCUCAACUCGGAAAAGCAUUGGAAACUAUCCCGCUGGAGGGUCGGAGGGGAGACUGGAAUUCUCGGUGUAGCAGUGAAAUGCGUAGAUAUCGAGAGGAACACCAGUGGCGAAGGCGGGUUGCUGGGCCGACACUGACGCUGAUGCGCGAAAGCCAGGGGAGCGAACGGG